CAAGAGAGAGAAAAUAAGAGAGAUUCAUUUAUCAUAUCAUAUCCAUUGAUACAAUCCAAAAAUCCGAACCCUUUCUCGUUUGGUCACGACGACCUAGAGAAUAUAUUUUCUUCAUCGAUCCAUUUACAAAACCUAUUCACACUCAACUUCACUCAUCACGAUUCAAUUGUUUUCUUCAUUUUCAAUCUUCCUCACCGUCUUUUCACGAUAAGG